rnacentral:rRNA from 1 species
UACGAAGGGGGCUAGCGUUGUUCGGAAUUACUGGGCGUAAAGCGUGCGCAGGCGGCUUCUCAAGUCAGGGGUGAAAGCCCAGAGCUCAACUCUGGAAUUGCCUUUGAGACUGAGUGGCUUGAGUACGAGAGAGGUGAGUGGAAUUCCCAGUGUAGAGGUGGAAUGCGCAGAUAUCAGGAAGAACACCAACGGCGAAGGCAGCUCGCUGGGACGGAACUGACGCUAAGGCGCGAAAGCGUGGGGAGCGAACAGG